rnacentral:rRNA from 1 species
GAUGAACGCUGGCGGCGUGCUUAACACAUGCAAGUCGAACGGAAAGGCCCAAGCUUGCUUGGGUACUCGAGUGGCGAACGGGUGAGUAACACGUGGGUGAUCUGCCCUGCACUUCGGGAUAAGCCUGGGAAACUGGGUCUAAUACCGGAUAGGACCACAUUUUGGAUGGUGUGGUGGAAAGUUUUUCGGUGUGGGAUGAGCUCGCGGCCUAUCAGCUUGUUGGUGGGGUAAUGGCCUACCAAGGCGUCGACGGGUAGCCGGCCUGAGAGGGUGUACGGCCACAUUGGGACUGAGAUACGGCCCAGACUCCUACGGGAGGCAGCAGUGGGGAAUAUUGCACAAUGGGCGCAAGCCUGAUGCAGCGACGCCGCGUGGGGGAUGACGGCCUUCGGGUUGUAAACUCCUUUCGCUGGGGACGAAGCGCAAGUGACGGUACCUGGAGAAGAAGCACCGGCUAACUACGUG